AAUGAACGCUGGCGGCAGGCCUAAAACAUGCAAGUCGAACGCUGUAGCAAUACAGAGUGGCGCACGGGUGAGUAACAUGUGGGAAUAUGCCUUUUGGUACGGAACAACUUUUGGAAACGAAAGCUAAUACCGUAUGGUCCCUUCGGGGUAAAGAUUUAUCGCCAAAAGAUUAGCCCGCACUAGAUUAGCUAGUUGGUAAGGUAACGGCUUACCAAGGCGACGAUCUAUAGCUGUUCUGAGAGGAAGAUCAGCCACACUGGGACUGAGACACGGCCCAG
rnacentral:rRNA from 1 species